rnacentral:lncRNA from 1 species
GAAAGCUCAAGUUUUUGUGUGUACUCUUUGGAUUAAAGACUGCCUGGCUCAGAAGAAGACAUUCUGGAGUUUGAAUCACAGACAUUUGAGGAUGCCCUUGGAUUUUUGAAUGCUGCCAAACCAAAUGUUAUGAAUUUCCAUUCAAGACAUCUAAGAAGCUGACACCAAGUCAAGACAAGAAGAUGAAGGCCAAAAAAAUAAAAUAGGAGAAGAGACUGAAGAAGGUAUACA